UGAAACCUGCCCACCGUUCCCUGUGUUCUGCCAAGAUCCGCACCCAGCCGCUGCCUGCUGGGAAGCAGAUAACAGCCCAGCGUGGGAGGCUCCGCCUGGCCCUCUCGGGUGAAGGUACUCUCCUUACAUCCAUGCUGCAGUUCCACAGCAGCUGGCCUGUCAGUCUCCCUGAGGACAGGAGAUCAGGGUCGUCUUUCUGGUUCCCUGCUGUGACUCCAGUGAGCAGCAAGGGGCCAAGAAGAGGAUUCUCCCUUCACUGACAACCCUUCAAGAGCAUCUUUGCAGAACCCUGGAUGAAUCCUUCCUGUGCGCAGUCAGGGACUCUCCAGAGACCUCCAAGAUCUGGACAAGAUAGACGAGAUAUUUGGACAAGAGGCACAUCGCAUCCUAGGCUCCUGUCUUGGAGAAGGUGACUGAGAAGUUCUGGCAGGAAAUGAUGAAAGCCAAGCAAACUCCAGAUUCGGGGAAGAUGGUGAAAAC